UACGGAGGAUCCAAGCGUUAUCCGGAAUCAUUGGGUUUAAAGGGUCCGUAGGCGGGCCUGUAAGUCAGUGGUGAAAUCUUUCGGCUCAACCGGAAAAUUGCCAUUGAUACUGCAGGCCUUGAAUUAUUGGGAAGUAACUAGAAUAUGUAGUGUAGCGGUGAAAUGCUUAGAUAUUACAUGGAAUACCGAUUGCGAAGGCAGGUUACUAUCAAUAUAUUGACGCUGAUGGACGAAAGCGUGGGGAGCGAAUAGG
rnacentral:rRNA from 1 species